UUUGAAAUCUGGCGUCUUCGGCGUCCGAGUUGUAAUUUGCAGAGGGCGCUUUGGCAUUGGCAGCGGUCCAAGUUCCUUGGAACAGGACGUCACAGAGGGUGAGAAUCCCGUACGUGGUCGCUAGCCUUUACCGUGUAAAGCCCCUUCGACGAGUCGAGUUGUUUGGGAAUGCAGCUCUAAAUGGGAGGUAAAUUUCUUCUAAAGCUAAAUACUGGCCAGAGACCGAUAGCGCACAAGUAGAGUGAUCGAAAGAUGAAAAGCACUUUGGAAAGAGAGUUAAAAAGCACGUGAAAUUGUUGAAAGGGAAGCGCUUGCAGCCAGACUUGCCUGUAGUUGCUCAUCCGGGUUUCUACCCGGUGCACUCUUCUAUAGGCAGGCCAGCAUCAGUUUGGGCGGUUGGAUAAAGGUCUCUGUCAUGUACCUCCUUUCGGGGAGAUCUUAUAGGGGAGACGACAUGCAACCAGCCUGGACUGAGGUCCGCGCAUCUGCUAGGAUGCUGGCGUAAUGGCUGUAAGCGGCCCGUCUUGAAACACGGACCAAGGAGUCUAACAUCUAUGCGAGUGUUUGGGUGUCAAGCCCGAACGCGUAAUGAAAGUGAACGGAGGUGGGAACCUUUCGGGGUGCACCAUCGACCGAUCCUGAUGUCUUCGGAUGGAUUUGAGUAAGAGCAUAGCUGUUGGGACCCGAAAGAUGGUGAACUAUGCUUGAAUAGGGUGAAGCCAGAGGAAACUCUGGUGGAGGCUCGCAGCGGUUCUGACGUGCAAAUCGAUCGUCAAA
rnacentral:rRNA from 1 species